rnacentral:lncRNA from 1 species
UGACAAUUAUGUGUCUUGGAGUUGUUCUUCUCGAGGAGUAUCUUUGUGGCAUUCUCUGUAUUUUCCUUAAAGGGAGUGCAGCCUUGUACACAAUUUUAUUAGAACUCUGAGUCUGAAGGCAUGCUUGGCAUUGGCACUAGAUUACUGUGUCUUCCUCAGCACUUUCACUGUUUACAUAACAGUGUAAACUAGGUCCCACCAUAAGCAACUGGAAAACAAGCAUCAGAUUGGAUGUAUGUCCAACAAAAGCAAGGUGGUGACUGAAAUCACGGAGGGGUAUCUGUGCACGUGGUCUUGCCUGUCCAUGCCACUUAGAAACGCUACUUCAUCAGAGAGCCUCUCAGCGGGUUGGAGCAGUGCCUGGGCAGCCUGUUAGUAACAACAGUUUAUAACAGAAAAUAAGUCUGAUUCUGUUCCAAUUUUUACUUUCUCUGUAUUUAAUUUUUUCAUACUUAAGGUGAUAAUUUUGGAGGAGAAAUGAUCCACAUAGUUGAUACUUCCUUUUAUAAGAUGGAAGAUUGAAUGAGAUAAUAUAUUUCAUAAGCUGUGGCAUAAUUUUAUCUGUGUAAGGUUUGUCAAAAUGACCACUAAGAAGGUACAA